AACGAACGCUGGCGGCAGGCUUAACACAUGCAAGUCGAGCGCCCCGCAAGGGGAGCGGCAGACGGGUGAGUAACGCGUGGGAAUCGACCCAUCUCUACGGAAUAACGCAUGGAAACGUGUGCUAAUACCGUAUACGUCCUUCGGGCGAAAGAUCUAUCGGAAAUGGAUGAGCCCGCGUUGGAUUAGCCAGUUGGUGGGGUAAAGGCCUACCAAGGCGACGAUCCAUAGCUGGUCAGAGAGGAUGAUCAGCCACACUGGGACUGGGACACGGCCCAGACUCCUGCGGGAGGCAGCAGUGGCGAAUAUUGGACCAUGGGCGCAAGCCUGACCCAGCCAUGCCGCGUGAGUGAUGAAGGCCCUAGGGUUGUAAAGCUCUUUCACCGGUGAAGAUAAUGACGGUAACCGGAGAAGAAGCCCCGGCUAACUUCGUGCCAGCCGCCGCCGUAAUAC
rnacentral:rRNA from 1 species